ensembl:lncRNA
CCCACAUUCAUACUUUUGGUGAAUUAGUAUCUAUUUUAUGUAUUUUAAUUUUAAGGUCAGAAUGUUUUAUAAGCAGGAAGUACAUCUUGUUUUUUGAAAAUGAUUAAUCUGUCUUUUUAAAUAUUGAACCACAUGCUGUUACCAGUCGUUUUGGUUAGAGUGCACUGUGUCAGACACCUCCCGUGUGCGUGGCUUCAUGGUGAACUCAACACUGAUGAAAAUGUUGUUCCUACCCUGGAAGAAACCGUAGCCUAUUGUGGGUUAAUCUGGCCACUCUUCAGUAGAGCUGCUGCAGUUUGUUGGGGGUCCACUCCAGUUCCUAGUUACCCUCGAUUUUCCAGUACCUGGAAGUAUCGCCAGUGAAGGCUUUGAAAUAGCAAAGAUGGUAGCCUGUCUCUUCUACUGGGAUCACCAUCCCAGGGAGAUACAGAUUGUUGCUGGUCCCAAUGCACCUGCAGGAAGUGAUUGAAGACCCUGGUUCAGAGUUCUCACCCAGUCAGAAGAAAUGGAAUUGGGAACCCUCUCAAAGAAGCUCACUGGAUAUGCUUUUGUCAAACAGAUGUGUUGCACUGGAGUACCGCUUCUGUCCCCGGUUGUCUUGGGCUCUCCAAAGCCUGGGGGCUGGAAUACCUACAUUUUCCAAACAGCGAAGAUGGCAGCCUGCCCAUCUCUUUGGAAUCUCCAUCCCAGGAAAUUUGCAAAUCUCUGUAGGCAAGAGAACAGUGGUGGGGAUGGCUGGAGGCCCUGGUUGGAAGGUCCCACUCAGUGAGGAGGAAUGGAUCAGGGACCUGCUUAAAGAAGCAGUCUGGCCACGUUUUAGGAGAGCAACUCUUCUGUGCUGGGGGAUCCUUUCAGCCCUCGGUCAGUUUGGACGCUUCAAAGCCCACAGGCUGGAAGAGCUGAGUCAUCUAAACAGUAAAGCUGGCAGUCUACCCUUUCUCCCAGGAACUUUGUCACAGGGACAUGGAUGAAUCUGGAGAACAUCAUCCUCAGCAAACUGACACAAGAACAGAAAACGAAACACCGCAUAUUCUCACUCAUAGGUGGGUGAUGAAAAAUGAGAAUGUGUGGACACAGAAGAGUACUAAACACUGGGGUCUAUUGGGGGGAAAUGGGGAGGGCCAGUGGGAGGGGUGGUGGGGAGGGAUAGCCUGGGGAGAAAUGUCAAAUGUGGGUGAACGGAAGAAAGAAAGCAAAACACACUGCCAUGUGUGUACCUAUGCAACUGUCUUGCAUGUUCUGCACAUGUACCCCCAAACCUAAAAUCCAAUAAAAAAUUAAAAAAAAAAAAAAAGGAAAGAUUUGGACAUAAACCCACACACAGGGAGAGUGCCCAUGUGCAUAUUGCUGCCAGAAAUUAAGAACUACCAGGAGCUAAGAGACAGGUCUGGAAAUUAUCCUUCCUUAGCACCUUCAGAAGUAGCAUGGCAUGGCCCUCCUGACGCCUUAAUUUUAAAUGUAUUUGCUUUCUUUUUUUCUUUCCUUUGAGGUGGAGUCUUGUCCCGUUGUCCAUUACUGAAGAACAGUGGUGCGAUCUUAGCUCAGUGCAAUCUCUGUCUCUCAGGUUUUACUGCCUCAGCCUUCCAAAGUGCUGGGAUUACAGGCAUGAGCCACCACACCCUGUCGAUUUUAAAUUUUUGAUCUUCAGAACUAUGAGACAAUAAAUUGUUGUUGUUUCAAGUGGCUGAAUUUAUGGUGCUUUACUUUGUAGCCCUAGCAAACUAACACAGGUGGGGUUUGCAUUACAAUGGACUAUUCAUCUCUUUUAGGGAUCUACAAAUGCAUGGUAUAAUCAAAAGAAAUAAUUACCAUUGAGUAAGUACUUAAUAGAGUUGUUCAGAAGAGGUCCUAUGGAAUUUCAGAGGAAGAAAUGCAUAUAAAAAAGUUACUUUUACCUCUAGAGAACACAGGACACAUAGGUAGGGUG